GUGGGGAAUCUUCCGCAAUGGACGAAAGUCUGACGGAGCAACGCCGCGUGAGUGAAGAAGGUUUUCGGAUCGUAAAGCUCUUUCGUUAGGGACGAACGUGCUCUUUGUGAAUAAUGAGGAGUAAUGACGGUACCUAAAUAAGAAGCCACGGCUAACUACGUGCCAGCAGCCGCGGUAAUACGUAGGUGGCAAGCGUUGUCCGGAAUUAUUGGGCGUAAAGCGCGCGCAGGCGGGAUAUCAAGUCUGUCUUAAAAGUGCGAGGCUCAACCUCGUGAGGGGACAGAAACUGGUAUUCUUGAGUGUCGGAGAGGAAAGUGGAAUUCCAAGUGUAGCGGUGAAAUGCGUAGAGAUUUGGAAGAACACCAGUGGCGAAGGCGACUUUCUGGACGGUGUCUGACACUGAGGCGCGAAAGCUAGGGGAGCGAACGGGAUUAGAAACCCUGGUAGUCC
rnacentral:rRNA from 1 species